GGUCGCCCACUCCUCGCACCCCUGUUGCUCCCUCCUCGUACCCGAUCUGGAUCGAGGGGACGAGGAGCUCCUGCCUCCCCGACGGCCGGCCUCCUCCUCGCCCCGCUGCUGCAUCCGGCGCCGCCACGGCCUCUGCAGCUAGGGAUGCCAUGGCCUGAGCUCGGCCUCGAGGUCCCCGCCGCCGUCUCCUGCAGCUUCCGCCUCACCGCCCGAGCUCGCGGUCGCACCAACCUCGGCACCACGUCGCCGCCGGCUCUGGUCGCCUCCACCUUCGCUCCAGGCAACCCUCAGUCGCCGGCUCGCUGGAGCACGACGGCAGACGAUGGAUGCCCUGGUUGUGUGCGACGGAUGCAGUUCUCACGCGCAAGCUAGGGUUGGAGCCGCCGGCUCUUCAUCCUGCCCGCCGGCGGUGAGUCUUCCGGUCCUGCACUGCCGCCUCCCCGUUAUCACAGUUGCAGGAGUCUUUGAAGGAGUUGGAGAAGUCUCUAGCGAUGCAAGUUCGUCUUAAACCUGAGUUCGAAUCCAAUUUCGUGGGAACAAGCAUAUAUUCCAUGAAUUUUCCAUUAGAUUCAGUGGACAGGUUCAUCGGGUCCUUUACUCCUCACAUAAUAACCGUGAAACUUAAUGAGGAAGGUUAUCCUUUCUUCAAGGACUGGAAGUUUCCUGGUAAGUGUUCCUUUUUCUGAAAAACUCUGUGUUUGUUCGCUGUAAUAUUUUGUUUGCAUCAGGUUUCUCUUUCCUUUUGUGGGCAUAAUGGGCGAGACAAUAAUAUUCAGAAAGUUGUUGUUUUAGGGAAACUGCUAACUCCAUAUGUCAGACCCAUAUCAUUGUUGAGCAUGCAUAGUGUUCCUAUGUCAUUUCUAUGAUGUAUUUGUUUCCUUUUAUAUCACAGUAGUCUUCAUUUUGGCCAUGUACCUUCAAACUGAACCAAAAAUGGUUUGUCUGAUGACAUGUUUGAGGAGAUUCUUGAUAUGAAACAGUAGAUAUGAGAGUGACCUUUUUUUGCAAGUUUUGUCUGUGGAAUCUUUUUGCAGUUGAUAAGACAUGGGCUGGUCUUACUUCUGAUCUGCAAUAUUUUCGGUAAAGUGAUUCAAGGUAUGUUUGAUUGUUUACUUAGGAUGGUUACUGAACCUCUUUGGGAACCAAGAAAUACAUUUUGUAUGUACAAAUAACAUAGGCCUAAAGUUCGUUUUUACAUUGAAAAUCUAUAUAUGAAAUUUUCUGUAACAAUCGAAAAUUCAUACACUCACUUUGUGAGAUGUCACACAACACCAUGCUCCAAAUUGUUGUCUAUCUGAUCCUUGUGGCAGAAUCAUAUACUCGUGCAUAAUUGCAUAUAUACUGUGACCGGGCACCAGUACAUUUGCAACAUUCUAAAGUUAGUUUUUUGUGAUUUUUUACCAAAACUUUUCUUCUACAAUUUAUAUGCAUGCAGAGGAUCUUCAACUGAUUUCAUCAUUUAUCUAGGCUAUGCGAGGUUGCAUAAUCAUGAAUGGUCAUUGUUCGGUAAUCGAAGCAAUACCCAGUUUAAUGCCUACCACUCACAAGACACACCGACAGAUCAAAUAAAUCUUCAAUGCACUGCCACUCACAAGAGCAAAUCAAUGUGUACAACCAAGAUGCCAAUGAAGGGAGAAUUGAGUUCAAAAUGAGAGACUACCACUCACUUAUAUUCUGCUGAAUUUGUUCCAUCUAUAGGAUUGUACAUGGAGAUUAUCUAUAAGGCUUAUGUCAUGUACAGGGAGAUUAUCUUAUGGGAUAGGCAUAUCAGCUACCGUUCAGACAUAGCAGUGAUGAUUUUUGCAGAACCACAUGCCGAUGGUGCACUUGCCUUUGGAAUUAAAGAUCAGCUUACUACACUAACCAGAGAUCAUAUAUAAAUACUCGACUCUACAGCAGUAUGAAGGGAUUUCAGGGCUAGUAAAUAUGUUAAAGAUAGAUACAGAGAAAGGAGAUUAGGGUAGUGGAUUCCGAUAAUGAUGCGAAAAAAAUGCCUUUGGGUCGAACACAUACUCUUGAAAGAAAGGAAGAAGCUUCUUGGUAAUGGAGAUGGUUCUCUUAUAUUUGGUAGGGAGCAGAAAAAAUCCAGCAUGGAAAAACACCACAUUCAACAUGGUGUAAUUAUGAUGAUCUAAACGAGUAUUCCUGGACUAAUGAUUGUUUCUCACUGCCAUGACCAAUGCGGGAUGAUGGUGGCUUCUUCAAAUAUGUGCAAGAUAUGUCCUCUUUAGCAUCACUGGAUUUUUGAAAACGUUAUAUCUGAAUUUAGAGUGCACUUCUGCAAAAAAAAAAUUGUCCUGAUUACUAUUUCGAUUUUAUUUCUGCAGGCACUGUGAAAUGAUCGAAUGCCGCUAAUCAUUUGGGAGGUUUGUUGUAGGGUGCUCUACCAGGUAUUUUGUUCAGAUAUGCUCUUUCUCUGCCUGCCAUUUUAGCCAUCAGUUGAGAAUUAUAUUCAGGUUAGCAAACAAGUUUCUUGAUACUUAUAAGGCGAACAUACUUACAAGGUGAACCCAUACAAAGAAAUAAAAUCUUGAUGACUUGUGAGCUUUGCCUAUUAACUUAAAAUUAACGGUGACAAGUUUCUUGUUCUGUACCAUGGUAAGUCAUGAGUCUGCUGUCUUGAUACAAGGAAAUAUUGGUUUUCUGCUUAUUCGUUCAUAUCUUGUUAUUGAAAGGAUUGCCAGUGUAUUAGUAAUUCAAGUUUCACCUUUCGCAGUGUAGUCUGGAAUAUUUGUAAUUAGCAAGAUGAACUCCUAUCAAGUACUCCCAAGGUUUUCUGAAACUGUACGAACAUUUGCUAACAGAAACUUAAGUUAGCAAGUUAGCAUAGCUGCUUAGCUACCAAGUUGCUAUGCAGUUAAUAACUUAAUAUACACCUAUGUUAAAUACAUAUACUUGUUGAAAGGUUUUUGUGUACUGCUCCUUGUCCUUUAUGUGACAUUUAGUUUCGUAGUCAGUCAUAAAUGGAUCCAGGUAGAUGUAUGGAUAUCUAUAUGGUGGAUGAUCCGUGUCAUUCUUUUACAGGUCAUAAUAUGCACCCACACAAUUCAAGUUCAUAUUUUGGAAGGACAUUGACCAACGAACCUUGUAGUAAUGUUACAGGUCAUAAAAUUGUGUAUUCCUACUAACCAUCAUUGCAUGUGUACAGUGGUUAGAGAUUUUGUAGUGGAUAAUCAAUUAUCUUUAUUUGCUUCUAACUCAAGGAAUCAUACUGCAACAUUUCCUCCAGUGCAGGCAAACUCGAAUGAUAGUUAGUAAACUUGGUUAGUAAUAUUUUUUGUUUUCUUACCUUGCAUUUGUGAUACAUCACUGAACAUGUUUAUUAGUUUGUCACGUCACUCCUGCUUGACGUGCCAAUUCACAAAGGGCAGCCCGGUGCACAUAGCUCCCGCUUGCGCAGGGUCCGGGGAACGGUCCGACCACUUGACAUGUCAAUUCACAAAAAUGAAAGAAAUCCAGAUGACCUGUGAACCUCCUUGUUGACAUAAAAUUAAUGUUGUUUUAUGUCUAAACCUCAUCUAUUAUAUACAAGUAGAGUUACGGUGGUGGAUUUCAAUUCUUGUAACUUAGUUUUCUUAUGAGAUGUAACUCAUCUACUAAUAUAUAGUAGUAUAUAUAAAGUUUCUUAAUCAAGCCGGCCUAAUGGACGGCACCAUACUUAGCAAAGCUAAUAGACGGCCCAUGCCCAGUACGAUUUUUUCAACUGUUGUAUAAUGAUAUUAUGAUUUCGUGUUCUUUUUCAGAAGAUCUGGGUGAUGAAGCUGACUCAAUAGAUCCAUAUUUUGGCCCCUAAAGCUGGUAGUGCAUCCUUGUCUAUGGUGUGGACAGAGGGAGAAAGGAGGCAAUUAACUACAGUCUGAAUGUAAAAUAAAAAUCGUCUGAAUUAAAAUAGAAUCUGAUAAAACAAAACAAAGGAGGUCAUUAACUAGAGAAUUAGGCUGGACUAGAUAUACAUAUUAUACUGUAUUUUCCCACUAAAAACAUCCAGCGGGGAGGCUGAUGCAGCACUAUCACGAAUUGUUCCAGCUCUUCCUGAAUCGAUAUGGUUUGUCGGUGUUGGGAUCCUCGACGGUGAUUAGCAACUGAAUCGUGAUGUAGGAUGGAAGUACACUUUACUUCAAAGGAUUGCACACAUAUGAAGCGGUUAUUGAUGAAGUCAUGGAAAAGGGACUUCCCAAUGCUACACAGUCAUGAAAUCUUUGUCUGUUUCACUCUUCUUCCGUACAUGAUAUACAAGGUUCUUGGGAUGCUUGGUACUGUUGCCAGGAGGUACGAAAUGGUUUGAUCUGUCAAGCAUGGAUUGCUGAAGCACAAAAUACAAGGGGGGUGCAUGAGGAGGCGAGAGCUGACGGCAACCAUUGGAGGAGGUCUGGUCGGUCGAAGAGUAAGGCAUGGGCAACUCCGGAGAGAUUUGGCUUGAGCAAAUAUCGAUGCUGCUACAAUGAGAAGACCCUUUCUAUGAGCCCUAUCCCUCUCAUUUAGCGUCUCGAUUUUGGGUUCUUCUGCUCCCUGUUUCUCUGUUCAUUCGUGGUGAUGGAUAGAAAGCAUACCAUACUUCCAUAGGCUUCGAUGUCCCGACGAGACCCUACAUCAUAAUCAAGGAGGAUCCUACAUCUAAAGGAAACAGAGCAGUCUAUAUCAUUAGUCUAUUACUGAUUUCUAGAAGAAGGAAAAAGGGAGAAAUGGUUGUUUCAGCUACUCUACAUUUGCUUUAAAAUUGGUGUACAUAUAUCAAGAAGAACUUGGUUGCAAAAGUGAUCAAACAUAACAUUCAACACAAACACAUUGGUUUUGUAAUUACAUGCCUAAGAUCUUUUAAUUUUGCAUUAAA